GAACCGCAUGACGGUUGGGCAAGGGGAGAUUUCCCACUAAUUACAUGUGCUAAUUAAUCACAACAAGAAUAAUUAACUCAGCAUUAAUUAGGGGAUAAUCCCCGCUCUCCCCGUGCGUGUAAUCACCCAAUGUGGAACCGUCACAACGGUUUCCCCUGGAGCAUCGCCUCUUGGAACCGUCGCCUUCUUUGGAAGCUUGUGUAAAUGUUGUAUAUAAAGGAUCCAAAACGAUCAAUAAAGAUUACUCAUUCAUUCUCUCAAUUACUUUCCGAUCUAACACGUUAUCAGCACUGCCUCUAUCGAGAACAAAAAAUGCCGACAAUCGCCGGAACGGGCUCCGGCAGAGAGCGAUUUGGCCAAAAGAAAGCGAGGGAGGGAGGCAAGGCUGUGGCCGACGCAUGUUUGUGGCACCACAGAAUGCUCGGCGGCCCCGUCUUUGCGCCUGGCGAGGCUCCACCCAUCUACGGCAUUGGAGCCUGCUGCCCAGAUCAGAUAAAAGAAAGAAGACGAUGAAGCAGUCCGUUCAUGGAAAAGGGAUCGGCGUGUAUGCAUCUGCACAGGAGAAAAAGAUCAGGAGAACACUUGAAUCAUUUGAUUUCUUACACUAAACUGAUUUUUUUUUUCUGAUUAAACAAGGAACUUGCAUGGUUAUACAUGUCUCGAUCAUCCUCACCUUAAUUAGAAUAAGAUUGGCAGGAUGAGACACACGCCAUGAAUUGAAGAACUGGGAAGGAGGAAAAUCAGGCUUUGGCCUCCACCAAUAGCAAAAAAUAGAAGAGAAGAAUAGGAAAGGUACGGUCCUUACGCCACUUCUCCUCGAUAUCCUUCAGGAGGUCGUUCGUCCUCGUCGUUUUACACACGACACAGCGUACCGACACGGCUCGGCCACUCGCAUCGCAGGAGAUGCCGCCUUCUCUUGCGCAUCCCCCUCUCGCUUGGCUACCCUAUGCGGGCCCUGGCGCACGGCAGUAGCGGCCGCCUAUGGCUGCCCGCGGCCACGUCCUCACGGCCCCGCUACGGCUCCUCGGCAGGGCCUUCCUGGCAACUGACGCGGAGCGGCCCUCGGCUCGCAUCCACGCACGUUGGUGGAGCCCGAGGCGAAGGCCCUUGGCUGGCUCUCCGGCCCCUGAGGGGCGUGAGACGUCGCUCCUCUCACUGACGGAGCGCCACCACGGCACACAAGCCCUUCUCGCGGUGCCUUCACGGCCUCCAAUGCGAGGCGCGUCGGUGCUCACUCCAUCCGCCCGGCCACGUGGCAUUGGCGCACGGCUAAGGCCGUGACUCCUCUAAGAGCAUGGUUAAUACUAUAGCAAACUGCUGGCUAUAAGCAUCUUAUAGCUAGUUUGUACAAUAGUUAGUUAUAAAAAAGUACUACUUCUAUCAUAUGGCCCACCUUUCAUUCUCACAAAGCACCUAGGAGUACGUGCUAGAGCUAGCUCUUCACGAAGAGCGCGCUUCCCUUAUCUCUCCUCUUCUCUCUCAUCCAACUCAGCAAAAAUAUAGUAUUUUAAUCCUUACAGCCUGCUCACUGUACCUUACUGUACUUUCUCUAAGUGGAGGUGAGCGGAGCAGCCUUUGGGAUUUCUCUCAAUUGGCAACCGCUCAGAGGAAGAAGAUAAGCCUUAUCUCUUCGCCUCUUUGCACUAAGGUCCUUGCGGUUGCUAGAAUUAGCAAAGCAGGCUUAUUCAGUGGUCCAAGCCAAUAUUUGAACAUCAUCCUUCAGUUUCGGAGAUUUUGUAAAUUUGUCCUGUUAACAGUGCUAUUUAGUAGCAUUAAUCUGUUUUAGAACUUGUUAGUUUUAGUAUUUGUGUCUUCAAAUACUGUAGUUCUGCGGAGUACCUUGUAUUACAGAACAUAUGUGUGAUAUAAUAUAUUGCCAUGUUAUUCUACAUGUUGAAAUUACACAUAUAUUAUUUUCAAUUGAGAUUUUUUUUAAUCUUUUGCAAAGAUAAAUUCAGUACCUCUACAGUACUGAUUUGCGAUUGAGAAUUUUCUUCUCUGGCAAAACAAUCUCAUUGCGAUUGAGAUUAAUUUUCUCUCAUAAAUAUUAAUUCACCUUGCUGAAUUAUCUUGCAACUUGAUAUAAGAUCAUCUCAUUUAAUUUGAGGUCUAUACAAUUCAUUCACUUGAGCUUCAAGUUUGCAACAUCAUUACUAUUCAUUGCAAUAGCAGUGUAUAUCUGUUGAGUACCGAGAUGUAUUCCAGAAGCUGAUGUAAUAUAUUUCCACGUUUAUCACUUGUUGAGAUUAAUUACGUUCAUUUGCAAUUCAGAUUUUUAAUCUAUUGCAAAGAUAAAUUCAGUACCUCUGGAGUACUGUUUUUCUAAUGAGUACGAUGUACUCUCGAAUGUAUGUAUCUCCAUGUUUUCUACAUGUCGAGAUUAAUACGUCUAUUAGC
rnacentral:lncRNA from 1 species